GGUGGAGAUCUAUAAAGAAUCUCCUUAGUGCAAAGAUUAAAGAAUUAAUCUUAACCAAACAAUCUGAACGGAUUAAGGGUCGAGAUUACACCCAUUUAAUAAUUAAUCCCGUUUUUUAAUUUCCUGAAUAAGUCAAAGAUAUUAUGAAAAAAUCACUGAAGGGUAUAUAUGCCAUUUUGUCUAUUCACUGAACUGUCUUUCCUAAAUUAACGUCUGUAAUUAAGGAAUUUACUCUCACCCCCACCCCACGACUUUUGCAAACCACCACGGACACACUUCGGAUACCCUACAGCAGAGGCGAUUCCUCUCCAACUACAACAGCGGCGCUUGGAAUUGGUCGGCGACUAUUCAGUUAUCCGGCGGCGAAGCUCUGGAUUUGGCCGUCUGAAACCGUCCCACAUCAAGAAUUGGGAACCGGCCUUUGCCUAAAUCUCUCGCAAAUGUUGCACUGACUUCCAAAUCACUUUCUUUUUCAUCUCAAUUGCAGACAUUCUCCCUCAAGCUGCAUUUGGUGUAUGGAAGAAUUUGAAUCCGUGAGCAAGACAAAAUGACUGGUUUAGUGAAAGUUAUCAAGGUGGGAUGGGUGAUCGUCCGAGAAAGGGAUAUGCAAGUAGCUCCAGAAUGAGUUGAACAAAUAUUCAGAGUGUUAAAGUAGAUAUUCGAUUACUUUUGUUCACUUAUUUAUAAUAUGCUCAUUCAUAAAAAAUUGUAAUAUAUUAGUAAUUUAAUUUAACUUAUUUUUCAGAACUUA